rnacentral:rRNA from 1 species
CACUGAAUCCCGCCGUUGUAACGGCGGCGGGAGAUGUGGUGUUCGGGAGGUUCCGCUUUCUUGUCGUCGUCCACUCCUGUCCAAGUUCGUCUUGAACGGGGCCCAUUUCCCACAGAGGGUGCCAGGCCCGUAGCGACGGAGGACGGCGGCGAGAGGGACUCUCCUCAGAGUCGGGUUGCUUGAGAGUGCAGCCCUAAGUGGGUGGUAAACUCCAUCUAAGGCUAAAUAUUACCGCGAGACCGAUAGCGAACAAGUACCGU